AUGGAGCGCAAGAACUCGUUCGGCUCGUCGUGGGCGGACCAGUGGGACUACGGCAGCGACCCGGCCCCGCGGGCCGGCGGCAAGAAGCAGGGCGGCGUCGGCGGCGGCGUGGAGAAGACCAAGGCGGCCGCGGCCACGGGGCUGAAGAAGGUGAAGGAGGGCACCGCGCACGGCUUCCAGUGGAUCAAGGGCAAGGUCCAGAAGAAGAAGCAGGGCGCCACCGCCGCCGGCGACGACGUGGCCGCCGGGUAUUAG
rnacentral:rRNA from 1 species